rnacentral:pre_miRNA from 1 species
UAUUAUAUUGUUGGGUCAUAUGGUAUGUUUGCAUUUAACUUUAUGGGAAACUGCCAAACUAUUUUCCAAAGUAGCUAUACCAUUUUGCAUUUCCACCAUCAAU